rnacentral:lncRNA from 12 species
UAGUUUUAGUAUUUUUAUGUGCUUUUGUCUUUUUAUUUGUAGUUUUUUUUCAAUAUAUGUAUUUUUUUCUAUUUCUAUGUAGCUUUAUAUUUAGCUUAGUUUUAGUAAUUUUGUUGUGUGCUUUUGUCAUUUGUAUUCAUUUUAUUUUUUAUAUUUUAUAGAUUUAAUUUGUUUUUUAGUUUUAGUGUUAGAAAUUUUGGUAUGCACUUCUGUUAUUUUGUUAUUAUUUUUAAUUUAAUUUAUUCUAGUUUUAGUAUUUUAUGUGCUUUUGUCUUUUUAUUUGUAGUUUUUUUCAAUGUAUGUAUUUUUUUUCUAUUUCUAUGUAGCUUUAUAUGUAAUUUAGUUUUAGUAAUUUUGUUGUGUGCUUUUGUCAAUUUUUAUUUAUUUUGUUUUUUUAUAUUUUAUAUGUAGAUUUAAUUUAUGUUUAUUUUAGUUUUAGUGUUAGGAAUUUUGGUAUGCACUUUUGUUAUUAUUAUUAUUAUUUUUAAUCUAAUUUAUUCUAGUUUCAUGUGCUUUUGUCUUUUUUUUCUAUGUAUGUAUUUUUUCUAUUUCUAUGUAGCUUUAUAUUUAGUUCAAUUUUAGUAAUUUUGUUUAUUUUUAUUUUACUUUAAGUACUUUUAUGAUCUUUUUUGAUAGUUUUUGUCUUUUUUUCGUUUUAGGUUUAAUUUAUAUUUAUUUUAUAUCAGUUAGUUGGCAACACUUUCCAUGUUUCCAUCUAAUAUUUUAUUAUAUAUAUAUAUCACUGUUUACUCUGGUGGAAAUAACAUUUUAAACUUUUAUGGAAUAAAAUGUCCAACUAAAUGUCUAAUUUAUUAACAACAAAGCAACAUUUGAAUGUCAUCCCUGAAUUGAUCCGCAGAAAUUCCUUGUUGAAAUGUAAAGUUUUGCUUCAGUGUAGAUGUGUGUGUUUCUGGCAGCAUGUUUAGAGUUCAGCAGGAAGCCGUCUGGAUCGGACAGAAGGGAUCCUCCGGUCUUUCCAGAGCUGUUUCUGCGUACGGCAUUGUGGAUAUGUGAGAAUCUUCCAGAAUGUGGAUCUGCUUCAGGUGAGCGUGUGAUUCUUCAUCUGUCCGUCUUGUCGUUUAUCUCAGAGCCCUUUAGAAAGCAUCUCGUCCUCAUAAAGACGUGACCUCGAAGCACUUCCAGAUCAUUGUAAUGGAGAUAUGAUUUCUUGAGCUCAUCUGGCCUUAUUUGUCCUUUUUUUCCACCGAUCUGGCCGUA